GACGAACGCUGGCGGCGUGCUUAACACAUGCAAGUCGAACGGAAAGGCCCUGCUUUUGUGGGGUGCUCGAGUGGCGAACGGGUGAGUAACACGUGAGUAACCUGCCCUUGACUUUGGGAUAACUUCAGGAAACUGGGGCUAAUACCGGAUAGGAGCUCCUGCUGCAUGGUGGGGGUUGGAAAGUUUCGGCGGUUGGGGAUGGACUCGCGGCUUAUCAGCUUGUUGGUGGGGUAGUGGCUUACCAAGGCUUUGACGGGUAGCCGGCCUGAGAGGGUGACCGGCCACAUUGGGACUGAGAUACGGCCCAGACUCCUACGGGAGGCAGCAGUGGGGAAUAUUGCACAAUGGGCGGAAGCCUGAUGCAGCAACGCCGCGUGCGGGAUGACGGCCUUCGGGUUGUAAACCGCUUUCGCCUGUGACGAAGCAUGAGUGACGGUAAUGGGUAAAGAAGCACCGGCUAACUACGUG
rnacentral:rRNA from 1 species